rnacentral:rRNA from 1 species
GACGAACCGUGCGAACGUUGUUCGGAAUCACUGGGCUUAAAGGGCGCGUAGGCGGGCCGCCAAGUCUGGAGUGAAAGCCCACGGCUCAACCGUGGAAGCGCUUCGGAUACUGGCGGCCUCGAGGGGUGCAGGGGCGUGCGGAACUUCCGGUGGAGCGGUGAAAUGCGUAGAUAUCAGGAGGAACACCGGUGGCGAAAGCGCUCAUCUGGCCCAAUACUGACGCUGAAGCACGAAAGCUAGGGGAGCAAACGGG